AUGGACGAGCUUAGUCCUAUGGCAGCUGUCUGUAACGGAAUGGGUCUGAAAGACAAGACUAGAGACAACAAACUAAACCGAAAGGAAACACGUAUUGGGGAUGGCGGACUGUGGGUUGAUAUGAGCGAUGGCGCGGGUAGUGGGGUGGGCAAUCUGGUAGGGCUUGUGGCCCCGGAGCGUGAGCGGAAACUAAAACUGGAGGUCCAACGAGCAGCAGGGAUAAGCCCCCAUAUGAUUAUUGUGGCGUGCGAAGUAAGAAAGCCAAAGGCACUGCAAAAUAUUUUUUGUCAACCGGCGCACAAAAGUACAACAUGUCCUGACCGAGGUGAUCUGCCUCUGAAACCAAGGAAGGAGGCAAAGUGCACAAACUGCAGAGUGGGCGGCGAUCGAAAAAACUCCUACAACAAGCCCAAGGUGAUCCUGCAUACUGUUCAAACGGUAACCUUGAUGGUAUCUGCCCGGGUAGUUAAGCAUCUGCAUCAGCAUGAUGGCCACGCAUGUAAGAGCCUGCAUGGUUUUACCGGGAAAAACUCUCCAACUACACUUGUUGUAUGGCUGGCUAUAUGGCACGAACGUGAUCGGUUUCCCAUGCAGUUUUGGCUGUUGUAUCAUAGAUGUGAGAUGCACCAGCCUGAGCUGUGCUGCAACGAUGUAAAUGAGCUUUCAAAUACUAGUGCACGCGUGUCAUGCAGGCUCGGUCCAGGACGUCCUCGGCCUACACACCGCAACGUCUGUCAAACUGAAGAUGAGGGCCCAGCCAUAUCUAUUCAGCCCAAGCCCCAGAGGAGCGCUAAGCAGAGCGGGGGUCUCGCGCGCGGCCGCGGCCUCCUCGCCGCUCGAUGCUUGUUGCUCAUCUACGGCCUAACUGCUAAUUCGUCCAUCCAGAUCUCAUCUGUCUCCUCCCCUCCCCUCCGCCGCCUCCACGCGGGCGACCGAGGGGCUCCAACCCUAGCCGCCGGGUCACUCCUCCUCUUCUUCCUCUCCGCCGCUGCCGGUGAGAUCUGGACCGAUCAGAGAUCUGGACUGCGCGGUGCCGAUCUGGUUCAUGACGGCCCAGAUUUGGACUACGGCGGUGUGGUGGCCGGUCGGCGUCCUAAUGGCGGCUGUGGUGGCAGUGUUGGCGACAGCGAUGGCUCUGGCGCCGCAGCGUCGGAGGCAGCGGCGGCGCGCCAUAUGCCUUUGGAUCGGCGGUGGUGGCAUGGAGGGCCUGGUGCCGCUCCUCCUCCCAACCCUAGCCGCCCCUCCCCCCCUUCCCUUCCUCGCCGCCGCCUGAGGCAGCCGCCGGACAAGCCUGGGGCGCAAAGGAUGGUGGCGGUGGGGCCUCUGUUGCCCUGCAUCUGCGUGGGGAACUCCGGAUCUAGAGCGGCGGCUCCAUUGUCAAGGCACGGACGGCUAGCAGCCAUGCGGGCGGUGGAUCUGGUGUCCCGCCCGCGCGGGCGGCGGGAUCUGGUGGUCGUUGGCGGCCGGCGGCGGCUUCUGCGGCGGUCGGUGCGCGCGAUCUGGCACCUCCCCUCCUCCCCUGUUCAUCGUGCGGGCCAGCCUGGUCGGGCCGCUCUUCCUCUUGGUCACCGGUUCUAUACAGGAGGCGCUGCUGGUGGCGGGGAUCUACUUGCCAUUUCUCACGCAUGCCCUUCACUGCAGCAUGGUAUGAAGAACAUGGGGACGGGGAGCCUCUCCAACUGGUGGUUGAGCACGGCGGAGCGCCUCAAGGCUGAAGCAUUGGAACACGUUUACCACCCUGGUCUGCUGGACGCUACGCUGCGGAAAGAGCACAACGCCCGAAUAUUCAAUCAUGAAUGA
rnacentral:rRNA from 1 species